GAAUGCUUGCCUAGUAUGCACAAGGCUUGCAUACCAUCUCCAGUACUGCACCCACAAAAGCGGUACUUCAAGAGUAUGUUUUUAUAUAUUUUGGGAGUACUUUUCUGAAUAUAUUCUGAGAUCAAGUUCAACACCGAUCACUUAUGUACCAAGUCUCAUGUGGCCGCUGGGUGUGAACUAACAGUAGAUUAAGGUGUGGAAGUGACCCUGAAGCUUUGUCCCUCAAAGAAACUUCUAUCCUGGCUUAGCUGGGAGCCGGUGGUCAGGCUGAGGUGAUGAAGCCUGACUCAUUUGAUCACUCACUUUGCUACAGACACUGUGGGACUACAGCAAGGAGUCAGACCGUGAAAGGCCACAGUUGUAGAGGGAUGGCAUAGAUGGGAGUGGACCCAGGCAAAUGUGAUGUCUGCAGAGGACAGAGCUGCUGCAGUAGCCAAGUAAUCACUACUCAAAUUUUGGGGAUUAGCGGCGUACAAUUCCAUCCGAAAAUCCAUAACACAGAGAAAAAAACCAUGAACUCUCAAGGGCAGAGUGUCCUCCUGUAGCUGAGACUCACUGGAGGAGAGAGACUUCCUGGAGGAAGAGGCCAUGUGUAGGCUUUGAGCUUUAGUCUCCCGGGGAUUAGUGAGUUUUAUGAGAACAACACAAUAGGAUUAAGCCACAUCAAUCAAAGCUGGCUUGGCUUUGGCUGGGAGCCCUUGAAAGGGUGAAGAGGCAGAGGCAGCUGGGGGUUUUGGUCUCAUUUGGAGACAAUGGCUUUUAUUAAGAAUGUACCCAUCACCAGAUGUGCAAGGGAUGGCUCAGACAGGACCACUACUGGACCACCCGAUCAGUGAGUGGGGUCUAUACUGUUGGUAGAGCUGUGUUACCCAGUUGGCUUGACUAAUGUGUUCCCAAGGAAGUAAGCUGGUGUGGGGGCAGCGGGGAGAAAAAUCUCUUCCUGGUUAUACAACUGGAGGAUCCUCUCCUGUGGUGAUAUUUGUCCCUGGCUGCCCUCCCGCACCUCAGUAAUCAAUCCUUCUCAGAAAGAAAGCUUGCUGGGUAAGGGGGAAAGGUGGACGAGAUCCUCCCGUCCUUAGGAGGAGGAAACAGAAAAUAGAGAAAAAUGUCAAUCUUAGCAACCUGAUGGGAUUUUACAUAGCAAAGAGAAAAGGCUUCUCAUUGAAAAAAGAAUAGGGUAAUUGGAUGAACACUGAACAAUUCCAUAAUGCUUGGGUGACACUGGAAGCCAGUGAGCUGUCCCCUUAGAGAGUACAGCAGGAAGGGACUGGAGGGCCUGCUCAGCUCCUGCUCUGCCUCAUGCUAGACCAAGCAGGUGAGGUGAAGAAAGGCAGGAAGCCAUGCUGACUUUCAAGCCUUCAGAAAGGCCACCAGUCCUUAGAUCACUGGGUGGUCCCAACAGCUUCCUGAGAGCAGGAAGGACCUCUGUGGUUAUGAUACCUGUUUGACAAUCAGAUGCUCAAAGAAUUAAAGUAGUUUGCCAAAAUCUAUGCAUUUGAUCACUACCUGCGCAGGGUCUGGGCUCUCCCCUUCAGCCAGCUGCUCCUGGGAAGGGGAUGAGGGAACAAGCCCCAGCACACUGCCUGCCAUGAGAUCUCUAAAUAGACCUUGCUUUCAGUAUGAACAUCACGUCCAAGUGAAGAUGAGAAAAGGGGCUGAGAGGGGAAUGGGUAACACUUUCCGAGGGGCCAGUGUUUGUAUGAGCAGCACUUCCUGAACCUGCCAUGGUCCCUGAAGAGGCCACAGGUCUUGAAGUAAACGAACGUAGACAUGUCCAGAGUCCUCUCCAGGCAGAGCUGGUCCAGGAUCAUGCCAGCUGGCUAGGUGACAGAGGAGGGCAGACUGUUUGGCCUGGAGUCAGGCCAGCCUGACUGAAAGAAAGAGUCAUGUCACUCUGCCCUGAAGCUUUGUGGUGUCACCCUGGUUAUUGCCACCCACCUUCAUCACACCUCACCCCACCACAGCCAACUGUGACUGAGCGGAUCUCUGGAACUUACAGGAUCCUUGAAGCCACUCAAUGCUUCUGAAUGUUGCCCGGAACAUCUCGGCUAAGGUUAGAGACCACGAAUGGAUCCUGGCCAGGCUGGCUUCUUUGGUGAAGUGUCUGGCUUAUCCAGAAGACCAGCUCUUCUCCAGCCACCUCAAGCUCCCAGGAGCUCACUGGAUGGAAGAGAAGUGAACUUGACCUGCUGUUUCUGCACCCACAUCUUCUAGACUGCUGUUCCCGAUCCCUGCUAGGUCUGUUUGUGUCUCCCAUGUAGGUCCCUCCUCUGUGAGGAGUUUAUCCCACCCUACUCCACCCUACCCCAGUGUUAAUGUGACUGAAUGAGCCCCGUUGUUGGGUUAUUGAUCUGAAGCUUUAUUGUAUUUUGAAUUGUUUAUCUAAACACCUGCUUUGAUUGGUGGCCAUAAUCAAUCACCCUGUUCUCGUUUACUGAGAGUUUUCUGUAGCCAGUCAUCCCUCCUCCUUCUCCUUCUUUUCCUCCUCCUCUCCCUCCUCCUCCUCU
rnacentral:sRNA from 1 species